rnacentral:lncRNA from 1 species
UCCCAUACUAUCUUGUGGCAUUCGCCCCAUAUUUGAUGGGCCUCCUCCCAUAUUUGAAGGACCUCCGCCCAUAUAUUGAGGGCCUCCAGGUCCUCCCAUAUUUUGUGGGCCUCCCAUGCCAGGUGGCCCUCCUCCCAUAUUUUGUGGGCCUCCCAUGCCAGGUGGCCCUCCCAUAUUUUGUGGGCCUCCUCUCCCUGGCGGCCCUCCUCCCAUAUUCUGUGGACCUCCCAUCCCAGGCGGCCCUCCCAUAUUCUGUGGGCCUCCCAUGCCAGGUGGCCCUCCUCCCAUAUUCUGUGGGCCUCCCAUGCCAGGUGGCCCUCCUCCCAUAUUCUGUGGACCUCCCAUUCCAGGUCCCAUGUUCUGUGGGCCUCCCACUCCUGGUGGCCCUCCCAUGUUAUUAGGACCAGGACCUUGCCUGUUCUGCUGCAUAUUUUCUCUUUUUCGUUCAAAGUUUCUUGAUCUAUCAAAGUUGCGAGGUCGGUCAUUGCGCCUAUUUCUC